rnacentral:rRNA from 1 species
UGGGGAAUUUUGUACAAUGGGCGAAAGCCUGAUCCAGCCAUGCCGCGUGCAGGAUGAAGGCCUUCGGGUUGUAAACUGCAUUUGUAUGGAACGAAAAGACUCCUUUUAAUAAAGGGGGUCCAUGACGGUACCGUAAGAAUAAGCACCGGCUAACUACUUUCCAGAAGCCGCGGUAAUACGUAGGGUGCGAGCGUUAAUCGGAAUUACUGGGCGUAAAGCGUGCGCAGGCGGUUAUAUAAGACAGUUGUGAAAUCCCCGGGCUCAACCUGGGAACUGCAUCUGUGACUGUAUAGCUAGAGUAAGGUAGAGGGGGAUGGAAUUCCGCGUGUAGCAGUGAAAUGCGUAGAUAUGCGGAGGAACACCGAUUGCGAAGGCAAUCCCCUGGACCUGUACUGACGCUCAUGCACGAAAGCGUGGGGAGCAAACA